GACGAACGCUGGCGGCGUGCUUAACACAUGCAAGUCGAACGAAGUGGCGAACGGGUGAGUAACGCGUAAUCCACCUGCCUUUCAGAGGGGGACAACAGUUGGAAACGACUGCUAAUACCGCAUACUGAAGGUGGGGAUUGCGUUUGCUUAGCUAGUUGGAGGGGUAACGGCCCACCAAUGCGAUGCGCAGUAGCCGGGCUGAGGGGAUGAACGGCCACAUUGGGACUGAGACACGGCCCAGGCUCCUACGGGGGGCAGCAGUGGGGAAUCUUCCGCAAUGGAGGGAAGGCUGACGGAGCAACGCCGCGGGAGUGAUGACGGGCUUCGGGUUGUAAAGCUCUGUUAAUCGGGACGCGGUACCGGAAUAGAAAGCCACGGCUAACUACGUGCCAGCCGCCGCGGUAAUAC
rnacentral:rRNA from 1 species